GCCUACGGGGGGCAGCAGUGAGGAAUAUUGGUCAAUGGGCGAGAGCCUGAACCAGCCAAGUCGCGUGAAGGAUGACGGCCCUACGGGUUGUAAACUUCUUUUGUCAGGGAGCAAUUGAGUCCACGUGUGGUCUUAGCGAGAGUACCUGAAGAAAAAGCAUCGGCUAACUCCGUGCCAGCAGCCGCGGUAAUACGUAUGGAGCAAGCGUUAUCCGGAUUUACUGGGUGUAAAGGGAGCGCAGACGGCAGGGCAAGUCUGAUGUGAAAGUCCGGGGCUCAACCCCGGGACUGCAUUGGAAACUGUCC
rnacentral:rRNA from 1 species